rnacentral:rRNA from 1 species
UACAGAGGGUGCAAGCGUUAAUCGGAAUGACUGGGCGUAAAGGGCGUGUAGGCGGAUAUAUAAGUUAGAUGUGAAAUCCCUGGGCUUAACCUAGGAACUGCAUCUAAUACUGUAAAUCUAGAGUAUGUGAGAGGAGAGUGGAAUUUCCGGUGUAGCGGUGAAAUGCGUAGAUAUCGGAAGGAACAUCAGUGGCGAAGGCGGCUCUCUGGCAUGAUACUGACGCUGAGGCGCGAAAGCGUGGGUAGCGAACAGG